rnacentral:tRNA from 1 species
GCCCUAGUAGCUCAGAGAUUAGAGCGUCGGUCUUGUAAGCCGAAUGUCGGAAGUUUAAAUCUUCCCUAGUGCU